GCUACGGGGUGCAGCAGUAGGGAAUCUUUCACAAUGGGCGAAAGCCUGAUGGAGCAACGCAGCGUGCAGGAUGAAGGCCUUCGGGUUGUAAACUGCUUUUAUAAGCGGGAAAUAUGAUGGUAAGUUAUGAAUAAGGAUAGGAUAACUACGUGACAGCAGCCGCGGUCAUACGUAGGGUCCGAGAAUAAUCCGGAGGGACUGUGUGUAAAGAGUUGUGAAAGUGGUAUAAUUAGUAGAUAGUGAAAUCUGGUGGCGUAACCAUUCAGACUAGUAGCUAAACUGUUAAGCUCGAGAACGUUAGGGGUAACUGGAAUUCCUAGUGUAGGAGUGAAAUCCGUAGAUAUUAGAAGGAACACCAAUAGCGUAGGCAGGUUACUGGGACGGUUCUGACACUAAGGCACGAAAGCGUAGGGAGCAAACGGGAUUAGAUACCCGGGUAGUC
rnacentral:rRNA from 1 species